CCUACGUGCGGCAGCAGUGAGGAAUAUUGGUCAAUGGACGAGAGUCUGAACCAGCCAAGUAGCGUGAAGGAUGACUGCCCUAUGGGUUAUAAACUUCUUUUAUAAAGGAAUAAAACGAGGCACGUGUGCCUUUUUGCAUGUACUUUAUGAAUAAGGAUCGGCUAACUCCGUUCCAGCAGCCGCGGUAAUACGGAGGAUCCGAGCGUUAUCCGGAUUUAUUGGGUUUAAAGGGAGCGUAGAUGGGUUGUUAAGUCAGUUGUGAAAGUUUGCGGCUCAACCGUAAAAUUGCAAUUGAUACUGGCAGUCUUGAGUACAGUUGAGGUAGGCGGAAUUCGUGGUGUAGCGGUGAAAUGCGUAGAUAUCACGAAGAACUCCGAUUGCGAAGGCAGCUUACUAAACUGCCACUGACAUUGAUGCUCGAAAGUGUGGGUAUCAAACAGGAUUAGAUACCCUAGUAGUC
rnacentral:rRNA from 1 species